UACGUAGGCUCCAAGCGUUGUUCGGAAUUACUGGGCGUAAAGCGAGUGUAGGCGGUCCGUCAAGUCGAUUGUGAAAUCUCCCGGCUCAACUGGGAGGGUGCGGUCGAAACUGACGGACUAGAGUUCGGGAGAGGAGAGUGGAAUUCCUGGUGUAGCGGUGAAAUGCGUAGAUAUCAGGAGGAACACCGGUGGUGAAGACGGCUCUCUGGACCGAUACUGACGCUGAGACUCGAAAGCGUGGGUAGCAAAC
rnacentral:rRNA from 1 species